GCUAAUGAUGAAAAACGUAGGUAAAUUAUUUUGAAUUGGUCUCUACAAGAAAGUACCUGCUAAAGGAAUUACAUAUAGAAUAACACGUGAUCUUGGGACACAAACCCCUCUCAUAUCAGACAAGACUACAUGAACCGAGAUCCAAGGUAAAAAAUUGCAGAUUUUUCUCUUCUAAUUUUUCCGUUUUCAUUUCUAGAAUGUUUGCUCACAUUCGUUGAUAUUGGUUUGGGUGCGUACCUUUGUCUGAAAAACAAUGAGAACAUUUCAAAUGACUAACCUAAUUCAAAUGAUAUAGGUACUGAGAAUAUAAGCCACAUUUUUGUCAUUUUUACUUUGCCCAGUUAAUCCAGCAGCCAUCUUACUUCACAAUAUCACUGCAAGGCAUGACGCAUCAAAUUCAUUUAAAUUUCAAACCCAGGCGUUUAAGACCAGCAGUUUAAUUUACUUUUCUUUUUCCUGGCAAAAUAUCGUUUUUCUGACGGUGGCCUACCUGCCUAGAGGUGAAUAUAUAGAGAACAACACGUUAUCCUGGGACAUAAACCUUAUAGCAGACACGAGCGACAAACCAAGAUUUAAGAAGAUGACUUGUUAUCUCGUGAUAACAGCUGCUGUGACCUGCGCAUGCGUGGUAGCUAUUAUGGUACAGCAAACCGAGGGAGUGUGCUGCAAAUCCGAGUACUAUGGGUAUUGCAAGGACUGCACUUUGGGUACCCCUUACUGUGGGAAUCAAGGCUGUAAUGUAUUCGGCUGUGCAUGUGGUGGCGGAUGUAGAACUGACUGUGGAAAAAGCGUAAUUGUUGAAAGCAAUUUUCAUGGUACUGUAGUGGACUGCAGAUGUACCAACACAAGGUCCACGAGGGGCACUGAUG